CCUGUAAGCCGGGCUUAUUAUUUUCUCCCUUAAAAUAAUUUUUUAGGCCCCGGGCCGAGUUGUUUAAAAAACGACGGGGGGGCCUAAAAGACCCGUCUUUUCUUUUAAGAUUCCAUAAAAACAGGGGGUAGACGUCCUUUAUUUUUCUCUUCACUAAAAACAGGUAUUAAAAGAGCCCUCCCUAAACCUAAAUAAAAUGGCAGUGGUUUAUUCCAAGCAGAGCGGUUUGAGCCUUUAUGGGAUACCCCUCUUUUUAUCUUACUGGUGUUUAUUUUUUGUGUGGCUGUUUUAAAAAAGGCCCAGCCCUGCUUUUAGCUCAAGUUUUAUGAAGCCAAACACCAGGGAGCUUUAGACACACUCCUUGAAUUAUUACAAACAUCUUUAGUCCUCAAGUAUUGGAUUUGCCAGUAAGGCCCUAAUUAAUAUGCGGACUUGAAUUUGUUAUAAACCAGGUACAUAUUGUCCGUCACUCUCCCCGG
rnacentral:rRNA from 1 species